rnacentral:rRNA from 1 species
CAGCAGCCGCGGUAAUACCAGCAGCCCAAGUGGUGGUCGCGAUUAUUGGGCCUAAAGCGCUCGUAGCCGGGCCGGUAAGUCCCUUGUGAAAUCGGGCGGCCUAACCGUUCGGCGUGCAAGGGAUACUGUCGGUCUUGAGGCCGGGAGACGUCCGAGGUACUCCGGGGGUAGCGGUGAAAUGUUCUGAUCCUCGGGGGACCACCGGUGGCGAAGGCGUUCGACGAGAACGGGCCUGACGGUGAGGGGCGAAGGCUAGGGGAGCAAACGGGAUUAGAUACCCCAGUAGUCCCUGUCUCUUAUU